rnacentral:rRNA from 1 species
GCAGAGCACUCCUCGGGGGGCAGCAGUGGGGAAUAUUGCACAAUGGGCGCAAGCCUGAUGCAGCCAUGCCGCGUGUAUGAAGAAGGCCUUCGGGUUGUAAAGUACUUUCAGCAGUGAGGAAGGUGGGUAUGUUAAUAGCAUAUUCAUUUGACGUUAGCUGCAGAAGAAGCACCGGCUAACUCCGUGCCAGCAGCCGCGGUAAUACGGAGGGUGCGAGCGUUAAUCGGAAUUACUGGGCGUAAAGCGCAUGCAGGUGGUUUGUUAAGUCAGAUGUGAAAGCCCCGGGGCUCAACCUCGGAAUUGCAUUUGAAACUGGCAAACUAGAGUACUGUAGAGGGGGUAGAAUUUCAGGUGUAGCGGUGAAAUGCGUAGAGAUCUGAAGGAAUACCGGUGGCGAAGGCGGCCCCCUGGACAGAUACUGACACUCAGAUGCGAAAGCGUGGGGAGCAAACAGGAUUAGAUACCCUGGUAG